GCACUCACUUCAGCAGCACAUACACUAAAAUCAGAACAAUACAGAGAUCAUUAGCAUGGCCCCUGCACAAGGAUGAUGUGCAAAUUUGUGAAGUGUUCCAUAUUUUU